rnacentral:misc_RNA from 1 species
GUACAUAUUAGAUCUUUUGGAAGAGACAGAUAUGCUGGGCUAUAAACCAGUAGAGUCUCCCAUUGAAACAAAUCAUAAAUCGCAAGCUGGAGUUGGGAAACCAGUAGAUAUAGGGAACAGCUCAUCCAUAAAGGUUUCUUCACCAACAUUUAAUUCCAACUCAUUCCUUGCCUUCUCCAAAACUUGAGGGUGAUUAAGCAGAUUGGACAUUGCCCAUUCCAAUGUAACAGCUGAUGACUCGGUACCAGCAAAUAACAUCUCCAGAACCAGGCCCUUGAUAAUU